GUGAGUAAAUAUGAGUUUGGAAAUAAAGCCUGGGAGGUGUCCACAGCUCAGCGUUGCUCUGGGCUAUGGGCCUUGGAUCAGUGACUACCGACAGGCUGGCAGGACAGGGUGCGUGGAGACCGUGGGUUACAGGAGGCCUCUGAAGAACCGAGAGCCUCUGCAACACAGGCCACUGGCCCUGUCUCACGGCUCAUUAGCCCCGUGGCCCGGCGCCCGGAGCGGGUGGAAAGGAACAGGUGGCCACUCUCUGGAACAUCAUAAAACCCCUGCAAAGCAUGUGCUUCAUUUUCAGGGACAGUUGCCAAAUUCUUGUCCUUGAAAUAAUUUUCCAGGUCUUUCUACUAGAAAAAAAGUUUAAUUUGGAAAAUGAGAGAAGGAGGAAAUAUGAAGGAAUAACCAAGGUAGAAGAAAGCUCCCAGGUUUCUGGACAGAAGAGAGGAAGUUUAGGAUAGGAGCCUGCUUUAAGGACAGCCCCAGGCCCCACUGCAAAGUGAACAAUCAGAACCACGACCGAAUUCACAGAGUUUGGUCUGAUACCUCUGGAUAGCUAAGAAUUCACAUGAACGCAACGUGGACCCAGGGGCCCCUUAAUCCAGCUUCGAGAAAACUGUGCUGUGUUUACAUGGUUCAUCUCCGCAUGCCCAGCACCCUGCAGCCCCCAGACUCGCGGGACAGGCCAGCUCGUCCUAAUUGCGCCUUCCGCCAGCCUGUCCUCAUUAGCACUGCUUGGGCUCCGCGGUCAAUCUGUCGAAAGCCAGGGGAAUGCUGAGUCAUCUGCCUCCUUUUCAACCACGACAUAUUUCUGGGAAUGUGAAGAACACUGGAGCGACGUGACAUUCCUCUGCUUGUAGUUGUAAGGCAACUCCCCACUUCCUUUCUAGUCACGUUGCAUCAUCCUUCUGAACAGGAUGAAACAGAUUUACUUGAAACUUACAUGCCUUUAGGAGAGAAAGGCAGGGUACAGGUCUGAGCCCCACACCCUCUUUGUAGUGCACCCAGAGAGCCAGUGGGCAAGACUGAUAACUGUUCUCUUGCCUUUGCAUGGGUAAGAAAGACACACAUUGAGUACUUUCUAUGCUCAUCUCAUAAUAAUGAAAAAUCAGUAACAUGACGGCAAAGACAGGCUCGUUUCACAACACACGAGAACCAGCCGUUGUGGAUACGUCAGUUCUGGGGUGGGGCACUGCAGUUUUUGAAUUCUUUGCCCUUGUCAUCUGAGAAUAAGUCAUGGGAAAGGUGAAUGGUCUAUGUAAAACCUUUGGCCUGUGGGCAAGCUUUUGGACAUCAAAGUCCCAGAGGAGUGUUAUUUAUUAACAGCACCAUUAACAAACAAACACUGCGGGUUUGCGGAGGGGAGCUGGGGGGCAGUGAUGGAUGCAGAGGUGGACAAAAAGGGACCUGCCCCAAGAAGGGCACAGUGUCAUGGUGGAGACUGGACCCUCCACGAUGCAGAGGCUGCCCUUUUGAGAGCUGAGCUUGUGAUCGGCGUGAUGCUAAGCAUUUACUCGAGCUAUCUCACUUCACCAUCAGAACCGCGGCCCUAAGUGGCAGGUCUGUUGCCCCAUCUUACAGACGAAGAAACUGAGGCUCAGAAAGGAGAGUUUACAGGGGAAAAGAAGUUUUAAUAAAACAAAAAGGUAGAAGUGUAAAUUGGUGGACUUUUUGGAAGAAAUUUGCCAACCUCCAGCAAAAGCUGAAAAUCUUCGACCCAGUGAUGCCAGUUUGAGAAGAUAACCAAAGAAGCAGGCAGAGACGUGCACCUAAAGCCGUCUAAAGCAGAUCAGAGAACAUUUGGAAAUACCUUAAAUGUCCAAUAACAAGAGAUUGAGAUAAAUUUUGGUUCAGCUAUACAGUUGAAUUCAAUACUAGGUAGCAUCAAAGGGAUCAUAUAGAUUGACAGGGGUAGUAGAGAUUGUUACGAUGCAUUAAUACACGAGGAAAAUACAUUAUAAAACAUUGUCUACCAAUUGGUCUCGUUUUGGUAAAAAAUGCAUUUAUAUGAAUACAUUCAUUAAAUGAUUCAGCUUUUUAGAGAAGUAAUGAUGCAAAUAAUUAUUUAAUUUUAGUUGUGAUGAAAGUUCACAGGGAGAGGCUGCCCCGAGUGUGUGCUGGGGGAGACCCGACCCAGUGAGCAGACAGCACUGGAAGGGAGAGUAAGACUUGAAAGGAAAUACACCAAAAUGCUUUGUGACUUUAAUUUUUCUUUCUAAUUAUCUGUAUUUUCUAGUGUUUUUUUUUCUAAAGUAAAAAUGGAUUACUUGGAGAGAAAUAUUUACUUUUAAAUAAUCUUCAAAACAGAAAGGAAAGAAACGAAUGUAGAAGUCAGAAAAGAUGAAGAAUGUGUGAGAUCGAGGACUCACGGAGGAGAGACCUUCCAGAAGGGAGUCAACAGUAUCAGCUGCCUCCGAAAGACCCAACCAACAGGAUGAAGACCAAGAUGAGGAAAGAGGAGAGCCACUGACGCCCUCACAUUUCUUCUGGAAAACGUUUAUUUGUUAUUUAUCUCCAGCCACCUUCCUGUCUCAGUCCAGACCCACAUUUUCCAUCGCGUCUUCCUGGAUGUCAUUACCUGGCAAUUCUGUGGGUAGUUCCAACUCGGCAUACCCCAAACAGAACCGCCUCCUCCCUCCACCCCUUCACUUCAGCCCCCAAACAGUCAGACAGGCAGACACCAAACUCAUUCACCUGUGUUCUCCAUCUUCUUUGGCUACACCAACAUCCACUCAAACUGAGUGUCCGUCUAGAUUCUUCCUUCUCUCUCCUUAUGCACAUUUAAAUGAUCCUUUAAACAUCCCUUUGACUAGGCUCUCCUCACUAAGCUGGAGUUUACGGCCUUAGUCAGGCCCUCCCCACCCCUUAUCUAGAACAACUCACCAGCGCCUCACCUGUUGUCCUCCUCUCCUUUAACCCUUCCGCCACACCGGCACUGACUGUAAACGCCCCGGACCAUCUGACUCACAUAUAACACUCUGCUCCCAUUCUCUCCAGAAUAAAGUCUAACUUCUUUAAAAUAUUGCAAAUAACGAAGCAAUAAGCAUCUUGUGCACACAACUGGUUUUUUUCAUUCAAAGUAUUUCCUUGGGAGAAGUUCCGAGGGUUGGACGGCCUGGGGUAUCAUUAUGUAUGAACACUCUGACACUUCUGAAACUGAGCGCUAAUGCAACCCCCCCCCACACACACGCACACACACACAUUCUCCUCCAGCAUACAUGGUCUUAGGGUUUGUAGGAAACAAAUCUUAAUUUUUGUUCCCUGACUGCCUGUAAUUUUUUUCUCUUUUAAAUCAGGUCCAAGCUAUCUUUUUAUUAAAAAAAAUUAUUUUCAUUUUAAA
ensembl:lncRNA